CACACGACUCUCGGCAACGGAUAUCUCGGCUCUCGCAUCGAUGAAGAACGUAGCAAAAUGCGAUACCUGGUGUGAAUUGCAGAAUCCCGUGAACCAUCGAGUUUUUGAACGCAAGUUGCGCCCGAGGCCUUCUGGUCGAGGGCACGCCUGCCUGGGCGUCACGC
rnacentral:rRNA from 3 species